UAGGCGGGGCUUUACCUAGCAGAGACUUGUAGAUGACCUGGAGCCAGUGGGUUUGGUGACGAGUAUGAAGCGAGGGCCAGACAACGACAGUGAACAGGUCACAGUGGUGGGUAGUAUAUGAGACUUUGGUGACAAAACGGAUGGCACUGUGAUAGACUGCAUCCAGUCUAAUGAGUAGAGUGUUGGAGGCUAUUUUAUAGAUGACAUCGCCGAAGUCGAGGAUCUUUAGGAUGGUCAGUUUUACGAGGGCAUGUUUGGCAGCAUGAGUGAGUCAUUACAUUGCACAGGAUCACAGAGUAGAAUGAUGGAUUAUGGGAUGUCAUUUAUGUCACGCCUCUCAGUUGUUGACGUUGUUUCCUCUUACAGAAAAGGGAUUGGUACCAGAGAGACCGUAAAUGCGACCGUCCAGCUCCAGUCAUUUCUGCUAACAAGCCUAAGAAGCCACUUCGUAAGCAUCUCCACCCCAUGGCACGUCCUGCCCCUGACCCCAACCUGAGCACACAACUAUCCCUACUCGACCCCCGAAGGAACCUUCUUUUGUUGCUGAUGAUUAUGUUGACAUUCUUGGUCCUGACCAUAACCUUACCAUGACCACCAUGGCCCAAUCUGUCACUUUCACAUACUUCCUUUGAAGUGAGGUGAUAUUUCAACCUUAGUCCUAACCUUACAGUAUCUUGACCCCAGAGGUCAAGCAUCAGAAAUCACUCUCCACUUUGUGUGUGUGUGUGUGUGUGUGUGUGUGGGGUAUGUGUGUGUGUGUGUGUGUGUGGGUGGGUGGGUUGGUUGGUUCUUCUACCCUUGAGGGGACCUAAAAUCCCCAAAAAGUCCUCACAAGGAUAGUAAAACAAGGACAAUUUCACCUUGUGGGAACAUUUCCCGCAUCCCCAUGAGAACAAAGGCUAUUUUAAGCUUAGGGGUUAGGUUUAAGGUUGGGGUUAGAAUUAGGGUUAGAAUUAGGUUAGGGUGAAGGUUAGGGUUACAGAAGGCUCUGAGGGGUGACCAGUCCUCUUCUGGCUGUGCCAGGUGGAGAUUAUAAGAGUACAUGGCCAUUAAGGCCAAAUUGUUCUUCAAGAUGUUCAAACGUUCAUAGAUGACCAGCAGGGUCAACAAAUAAUACCAGUGGUUAUAGAGGGAGCAACAGGUCAGUACCUCAGGAGUAAAUGUCAGGUGGAUUUUCAUAGCCGAGCAUUCAGAGGUCGAGAGGCGUGGUAGAGUGAGAGCGAAAGAGAGAGAGAGAGAGAGAGAGACUACUGUAUGCUUAUUGUUAUUGUUGAAUGUAUGGUUAUUUUGACCCUUGGUUAUUGUUGUUACUGUUAUCCCGUUGACAAUUUUGAUUCUCAUUUUUAUUUAUUUUUAUAUUGUAAAUAUCCAAAAUAAUCUUUGGCAAUAUGUACAUUGUGACGUCAUCCCAAUACAGCGAAUUAAAUUGAAUUGAGAGAGAGAGAGAGAGAGAGAGAGCUGUUGCUCCUCAGGAGCUACAACCUAGGCUGCUGUUUUCUCCCGGCCUUAUUCUUUAAAAUUCCUGCUGGCG
ensembl:lncRNA